rnacentral:rRNA from 1 species
GCGAAAUUCCUUGUCGGGUAAGUUCCGACCUGCACGAAUGGAGUAACGAUUUCCCUACUGUCUCCACCAUGAACUCGGUGAAAUUGCAUUACGAGUAAAGAUGCUCGUUACGCGCAGCAGGACGGAAAGACCCCGGGACCUUUACUAUAGUUUGGUAUUGGUGAUUGGGACGGUUUGUGUAGGAUAGGUGGGAGACGUUGAUGCGGCCACGCUAGUGGUGGUGGAGUCGUUGGUGAAAUACCACUCUGAUUGUUCUGGUUAUCUCACUGUGGACCGUGAUCCGGUUCAAGGACAGUGCCUGAUGGGUAGUUUGACUGGGGCGGUCGCCUCCUAAAGGGUAACGGAGGCGCCCAAAGGUUCCCUCAGCCUGGUUGGUAAUCAGGUGGUGAGUGUAAGUGCACAAGGGGGCUUGACUGUGAGACUGACAGGUCGAGCAGGGACGAAAGUCGGGACUAGUGAUCUGACGGUGGCUUGUGGAUGCGCCGUCACUCAACGGAUAAAAGGUACCCCGGGGAUAACAGGCUGAUCUUGCCCGAGCGCUCAUAGCGACGGCAUGGUUUGGCACCUCGAUGUCGGCUCGUCGCAUCCUGGGGCUGGAGUCGGUCCCAAGGGUUGGGCUGUUCGCCC